rnacentral:rRNA from 1 species
CGAACGCUGGCGGCGUGCUUCAUACAUGCAAGUCGAACGAGAAAUUCACUUCGGUGGAUGGAAAGUGGCGGACGGGUGAGUAAUGUGUAGAGAAUCUGCCCUAGAGCGGGGGACAACAGCUGGAAACGGUUGCUAAUACCCCAUAUGAGCGUAUCUGAAAUGGUAUUCUUGAAAACUCCGGUGCUCUAGGAUGAGUCUGCAUCUGAUUAGCUAGUUGGGGGUGUAAUGGACCACCAAGGCGACGAUCAGUAGCUGGUUUGAGAGGAUGAUCAGCCACAAUGGGACUGAGACACGGCCCAUACUCCUACGGGAGGCAGCAGUAGGGAAUUUUGCGCAAUGGGCGAAAGCCUGACGCAGCAACGCCGCGUGAUUGAUAAAGCCCUUCGGGGUGUAAAGAUCUGUCAGUGGGGACGAAACUUGACGGUACCCACAGAGGAAGCACCGGCUAACUCCGUGCCAGCAGCCGCGGUAAUACGGAGGGUGCAAGCGUUGUCCGGAAUCAUUGGGCGUAAAGAGUUCGUAGGUGGUUUGUUAAGUUUGGUGUUAAAUGCAGAGGCUCAACUUCUGUUCGGCAUCGGAUACUGGCAGACUAGAAUGCGGUAGAGGUAAAGGGAAUUCCUGGUGUAGCGGUGAAAUGCGUAGAUAUCAGGAGGAACAUCGGUGGCGUAAGCGCUUUACUGGGCCGUAAUUGACACUGAGGAACGAAAGCCAGGGUAGCAAAUGGGAUUAGAUACCCCAGUAGUCCUGGCCGUAAACGAUGGAUACUAGGUGUUGCGGGUAUCGACCCCUGCAGUGCCGUAGCUAACGCGU